UUAUUAUUGAGUUUAUCUUAUGAAAAAUCCAUCUGAAUUUUUUAACAUUUAUCAUAUGUUUCGUGCCAUGGUAAAGACUCAACAUAAUGCUAUUAUAAAAUGUUUUCGAUGUGAUUUAGGUGGUGAAUACAUCUCUAAUAAAUUCUUUGAAUUACUAACUUAUGAUGACACCCUCCAUCAGACAUCUUGUACCGAUACUCUUCAACAUAAUGGAGUUCUAAAAGGAAACAUCAUCAUAUUAUUGAGACUGUUAAUUCCCUUUUGUUGUCUGCUUCGGUUCCCAGUGAGUUUUAGGGGGAAGCAGUUCUUACAGCUGUUCAUGCUAUUAAUAGAACUUCGUCGUCUGUCAUAUCAGGUUUGUCUCCCUUUGAAAAAUUAUAUACUUCUAACUCUAAAAGUCUAUGGUUCUACUUGUUUUGUUCUUCGGCCAAAGGUAGAGCGCAGUAAGUUGUCUUCUCGGUCUACCAUGUGCGUUUUUCUUGGUUAUGAGGAUAGUCAAAAGGGUUAUCAUUGUUAUGAUUCUCAUGCAAGAAAACUAUAUGUUUCUUGUAAUGUUGUUUUUCUUGAGCACAUCCCUUUUUAUUAUGUUGCUAUGAUUAUCAAAUUAUUAAGAGUUCAGAAUUAACCCAUAUUGAUCCAUUUGGUUCUAAUGAUAAUACUUCUAGUGAUUGUAAUGUUGAAAAUUGCAGGAAAAAUAGUACUACUCCACAUGAUGACAUCCCUCUUGUCCCCCUUUUUGUUCAACCACCUCAUGCGAUUGUUGAUCCUCCGUCUACGUCUCCUCGUCACCCCUCUCGUCAUAAUAACAAGCUAUGGCAGAAGAACUCUCUACAUUGCACAAAACAAAUACUUAGGAAUUAAUACAUCUUCUUCCUUGAAAGCGUACUAUUGGGUUUCGUUGGAUAUACAAGAUCGAAACUAAGUCUAAUGGGCUGGUUGAGCUCUAUAAAAUACGUCUUGUUGCUAAGGGAUUCUCUCAACAAUAUGAUAUAGAUUAUGAAGAAACUUUUACUCAUGUAGCCAAGAUGACCACUAUUCGUACUCUUAUUGUUGUUGCAUCUAUUCUUCAAUGGCAUAUUUUCCAAAUGGA